rnacentral:rRNA from 1 species
GCCUAACCUCUAGCCCCAACCCUUUAUACACAAACAAACCCUUAUUUAUCUACCCUGAAUCAAAACAUUUUAACAAUUUAGUACUAGGCGAUAAAAAAAUUUUUCCGGAGCAUUACAAUUAGUACCGUAAGGGAAAGAUGAAAUAAUAAUGAAAUAUAUUUAAGCACAAAAAAGUAGAGUUUUCCCCUCGUACCUUUUGCAUCAUGGUUUAACUAGUCUAAUUAGGCAAAAAGAUUUAUAGUCUAACUUCCCGAACCUAAGCGAGCUAUCUUAAGACAGCUUCAUGAGCCAACCCGUCUCUGUUGCAAAAGAGUGGGAAGAUCUUAAAAUAGCGGUGACAGACMAAACGAGCUUAGUGAUAGCUGGUUGCUUUUUAAAAGAAUUUUAGUUCCACUCAAAGCUUAUUUUAUACAAAGAAAUUAUUACUUUGAAGUAAUUCAAAUAAGGUUCAGCCUAUUUGAAAAAGGAUACAACCUCAACCACUGGGUUACCCCGUCUCAAUAUGUUCAAGUAGGCUUAAAAGCAGCCAUCUUCAAUAAAAGCGUCAGAGCUUGCCCAUUUUUAGACCUAAUUACUUAAACAUUCCCCAACCCUUCCCCACUAAAAAGCAACUCUAUAUUCUUAUAGAAAAUUUUAUGUUAAAACUAGUAACAAGAAGCAGACCUUCUCUUUAAUGUACCUUUAUAUCAAUUAGGACACUCCACUGAUUCUUAACGUUUAUAAUUUCUAAAUAGCAACACCCCAAGAAAAAUCUAUUUUCACCMACGUUAACCUAACACAAGAACAUUUUAAGAAAGAUUCAAAGAAAAAGAAGGAACUCGGCAAACAUUAGCUUCGCCUGUUUACCAAAAACAUCGCCUCUUGAUUAAACCAUAAGAGGUCCAGCCUGCCCAGUGACAUUGUUCAACGGCCGCGGUAUCCUAACCGUGCGAAGGUAGCGUAAUCACUUGUCCUUUAAAUGAAGACUAGUAUGAAUGGCCUCACGAAAGCUAUACUGUCUCCUUUUUCCAAUCAGUUAAACUAAUCUCCCCGUGAAGAAGCGGGGAUAAAUAUAUAAGACGAGAAGACCCUAUGGAGCUUUAAACAAUCGAAACACCUGUAUAUUUGUUUUAUCUAAAUCUACAUAUAACCCCACAUUUUGUUUCUAGUUUUAGGUUGGGGUGACCGCGGAGAAAAAAUCAACCCCCACGCUGAAAGAGAUAUCUCUAAACAAAAAGCUACACCUUUAUGUAUUAACAUAUUAACCCUAAUUGACCCAAUAAAUUGAUCAACGAACCAAGUUACCCUAGGGAUAACAGCGCAAUCCAUUUCAAGAGCUCUUAUCGACAAAUGGGUUUACGACCUCGAUGUUGGAUCAGGGUAUCCUGGUGGUGCAGCCGCUACUAACGGUUCGUUUGUUCAACGAUUAAAACCCUACGUGAUCUGAGUUCAGACCGGAGUAAUCCAGGUCAGUUUCUAUCUAUAAAGAGUUUUUUCUAGUACGAAAGGACCGAAAAAACAUGGCCAAUACCAUUACGCAAGCCAUCUAUUUUGCAUUUAUGCCUCCAACUCAAUAAUCAAAAAUCUCUCACUUCAUUUAAGACAAAAACCA